UUUAUUUAUUCCUACGUGAGCAGAUCCAGUACACUUCUUGCACAUAAACAGUGAAAAUUACAAUAUAAAGGACUUAUUAUACCUUCUCUUGGAGUAACAUUAGUGCUAGUGAGAGGCUUGCCUACUUUGCAAGACUAAGAAGAUAUAUUUUCUGCAGGUAAACCCAAAGCUUUCAGGAAACACUACCUGCUGUGCUGCAUUUUCAGGUUAUUUGGUCUGGACCACUCUUCUGACGCCAAAGCACUUACAGAACUUGCCAAAAUGAAACAAUUCUCAGACAUUGUUGGCUUUGUAUUUGCAUAAACUAAAGUACCAACUGCACAUCAAUAACUUCUUUCACUGAAUCCUGCUGGAUGCUGUAUUGUUCCCUUGUCAGAAGUGGCUGCUAAAAUAAAAAGAUGGCUGAAGAACAGAAAGCAUCUCUAAAGAAAGCAUUUCAUUUUGGUAUUAAUGGAUAUGUACCAUCAGUAAAACUAUGCAUCAGGAAUAAAAGUGCCCCCCAAAGCUAUGCCUGUUGUUUACGCAAUAGCAAAUAAGUAGUAUGUGACUGGUCUAUGAUAGAAAACCUGUAACACUAAUGGAGAGCUGACUGUCAAACAAUAGCCAUUAGGAAAGCCAUAGACUCAAACUCAUCUUUAAACUAGUUAUCUGUAAGCCUAUCAGUCUGUGCUAAUUUUGUAAUACAGAGAUCAUGUUAGCUUCAGACCAUAAAAGAAUACUUCUGCAUUCCCUAGCUACAAGAAAACUUUACUUAAAUCUGUUAUUUCAUUUCUUUACCUUAGUGUGCUUGGUUUAAUCAAUAAUUAUCUGUACCUACAAGUACCAUUCUUUCAGAACCAAAACUUGAAAGAGCCUUCCUAAAAAGAGCAUAUCAGCUAGUAUUAUACGUAAUAACAAGAACAAAAGGCUUUCC